rnacentral:rRNA from 1 species
UUUCUUGGAGAGUUUGAUCCUGGCUCAGGACGAACGCUGGCGGCGUGCCUAAUACAUGCAAGUCGAGCGGACUUGAUGGAGAGCUUGCUCU